rnacentral:rRNA from 1 species
CAGCAGCCGCGGUAAUACGUAGGGUGCAAGCGUUAAUCGGAAUUACUGGGCGUAAAGCGUGCGCAGGCGGUUAUGUAAGACAGAUGUGAAAUCCCCGGGCUUAACCUGGGAACUGCAUUUGUGACUGCAUAGCUAGAGUACGGUAGAGGGGGAUGGAAUUCCGCGUGUAGCAGUGAAAUGCGUAGAUAUGCGGAGGAACACCGAUGGCGAAGGCAAUCCCCUGGACCUGUACUGACGCUCAUGCACGAAAGCGUGGGGAGCAAACAGGAUUAGAUACCCCUGUAGUCCCUGUCUCUUAUAA